rnacentral:lncRNA from 10 species
CUAUGACUAACCAAAGAAAUGAGCUUAUACCAAAGGUCCCAUAAUGGCAUAAAUGUUAUCCAGAAAAUGAUGCAGAAAUUCCAGUGUUUUUCCAAUCCUUUAACAAAUCUUACCUGACAUGAUUGAUAUUAGAUAUGUAGUCUAUUAAAUUAUUAAAUUACUCAUUUCAUUUAGCUAAGAAAAUUCAGUGCAAUAAAGUCAUUGAUGUCUUGUUUCUUUCACCACCCAUGUAGGAAGUACUUGUAGCAAAAGCAAUGGAUUGACACCUCCAGUGGCCAGGAGGGUUAGUUGCCAAUUACACAGAGCUAAGCCCCUUGCCAGGAACUGCUCUGUCCUUCUCCCAGAGGGCAGCCCGCACACAAUGACUGAUGGAGAACAAAUGCCUUGACAAUUCAGGACAACUCUGAAAAACUAUCCCAAUUCCAGAGCUUCCCUUUGGAUCAACGGAGGCCUCUGUUAUAGCUGCAUUACAGAUGAACUCUGCCCUCUGCUCAAUCCUGCUUUCCUCACCCUUCACAAAUGUUAUUCCUGGAAUUUCUCAGCAAUAAACUUCCUGCACACUUAUCCCAGAAACUGUUCCCUGAAGAACCUCACUUACUAGAGUUGGUACUAGAAGUGAUUUUAGAAGAGGAGUGGCUUACUAACCAACUGGCCACGGAGCCCCUAUCUCUGGUGGUAGAUGGUGGAUAGAUAGCACUUGGGGUAGUCUGAGGGCAAUUACAAACCUUUCACAAGUGGUGAAACUAAUACUGGAAUCCUGGAGAAGGGACUGCACCAGGAGGUGCAACAUUGUAGGCAUUUGGGAGAUCCAAGGACAACUCAAGGAUUAUAGAAUCAGAUGAAUGGAAGCCCUCAAUGUACUAGUUAAUCAACAAUAUAAGGUAAAUUUUCUAAGCCAGAAGUUCUUCUUAGCAGCAUAUAAAGAGUCUCUUCCAGAAUAGCCAGAGGUCAAAAUAACCCGAUGUUCUUGUGCCAGGACUAAGAUUAGCAGAACUCUAGAGAUAGAUGCAUUACCAACCUUAGCAGAUAUGCUGGGCUGGGUCAAGUCCUUGAUUAUGAAGGAAUAAGACUCAGACACCUGAAAUGGUUACAUCUGGGUCAAGGAAGCUGGAAUUCUUGAAUACCCAGAUCAUUCUGAACACUUUAGGCAUGUAAUAUCCUAAACUACCUCUCCAACAGAUCAAAACAUAAGCUUUCUCCCCUUGCUUAAAUAUAAUGAAAAGAGUCUUCUUUGUUAGAUAACAUGUGCUCCCCUCAUAAUCUACCCUCAUCUAUCUUCCUAUUGGACCAAUGAAAGGGUCAAUUCACAGCAUAACCCUGCCCUGCCAAGAAGUGCUGGGCUGGCUAAGGAAGAAAAUGAGGCAGUGCACAGAAGGAGCUGCUGGACCCAGCCAACAUGCUGGGUCAAGAACAUGGAGAGUAUGUGUGGGGCCAGAUGCUGAUAAUGCUGGAUCAAGGAGGGAGAGGAACAGAUGUCAAGUAAAACAAGAGAAAGUACCAAUAUGGGAGCAUUCACAUAUAAUACAAGAUUUCAAAUCCUAGAACUAGAACCUAUUAGAAAGGACCCUGGGAUACAGUGCUUAUACACACUGGUUGAGCCGUAGAAGCUUAGUAAAAGAGAUGGUCCACUCUAAGAGAAGUAGAGACACCAAAUCUACCUUGAAAAAGGGGAAGAAGUAAUCAAAUACCUCAAAUGAAUAAGCAUUCUAAAGUGGAUAUACUAUCUAAAGCCAAACAACUAACUGGUUAACUAUCAUGGGGGAGCCAGAGUAAGUAUGUUAAGUUCUCUUCUGUUGACUAGACCACUUUGAGUGUACCAUCUGUUAUUUGUACUUGUUUUAAAAAUCAAAAUGUGUGUCUACAAUGAAAAGCAAUGACAGUUUGAGUUACCAAAGUGCUAAGGGAUGUGCUACUAGGAUGGGCACCAACGUUGUUAGUAAAGUCAGUGGAGCUGUCCUCUCUAUGCCAGUCUUGCCCUCCAUAGACAACAUAUAUUGCUGAAGGACUGGCUUCCCCAAGAGCAAUGUGGUGGUAUGCUCCCCAGAUCAGAGAGACUGUCUGGUAGCACCUGAUCAUCAGAAACAAGCAAAAUGCAGUGAUUAUUAUGAAUGUCACAGUCAGAGAUAAAAGACAAUCCUAUACUUUCCACACUUAAAAACUAUAAACUACAAGCUUUGUUUUUUAUCAUCCCAGUCAACAGCUGUGAAUAUCUGGAAAUGCACUAGAUACUACAUAUGAACAUUUUUUCUUAGUCACUUCUGAGAAGGAAAAAAAAGAUAAUUCAGGGUAGCUGGAUUUUAGAUCCAUGUCUUUUUCCUUGAUCUAUAAAAUCUAAUUCAUUAAAACCUAAUCAACAUGUAGAAAGUAAUACUCCAGGCAGGACUUUUCUGAAAGGCAACUUUCUACUUAUAAGAAGAGGACAAGAAGGUUCUUCUGAUUCUUCUAACAGAUGUCAUUAUCCUUUGAAAUAUUGCCGUGGACACACAUACUUACAAUUUGAUACAAGUCUCAGAAAGGGGAAAAAAGUAGUCCCAAUCAUCAUAGGAGCAUAAUAAAAGGAAAAUUCCAAGUCAUUAAAGCCUUCUCAAUCUUCACUGCUACAACUGCCUGAUGAAAUAAGUGAACAAUCCAUCCUGCUUGGAAAGCAAUUUUUAAAUUCAAAACUGCAACUAAUUUAAUACAAUCCAACAUCAGUGCUAAUAAUUAUGUGCCCUUACUUUGGAGAAAAAAUAUAAAUUGAUGAAAUAUAAUCAGUAAUAGCUGAAGCACCAAGCGUAAAGUUGCA